rnacentral:misc_RNA from 1 species
GAUGAAGAACGCAGCGAAAUGCGAUAAGUAGUGUGAAUUGCAGACUUUAGUGAAUCAUCGAAUCUUUGAACGCACAUUGCGCCCCUUGGUAUUCCGAGGGGCAUGCCUGUUCGAGCGUCAUUAUCACCCCUCAAGCUCAGCUUGGUGUUGGGGCCGGCCCGUCACAGGGCCGCCCCUAAAAGCAGUGGCGGUGCCAUCUGGCUCUACGCGUAGUAAUACUCCUCGCGACAGAGUCCCGGUGGUGUCCUGCCAGAACCCCCCAUCUUUUUAAUGAUUGACCUCGGAUCAGGUAGGGAUACCCGCUGAACUUAAGCAUAUCAAUAAGCGGAGGA